rnacentral:tRNA from 1 species
GCCGUCUUAGCUCAGCUAGUAGAGCGCGUGGCUUUCUUUUAACCAUUGUGGGUUCGAUUCCCACAGACGGCA